UCUGCGCCCCGACCUGAGUGGAGCUCCUUUUUUCCUUGGCUAAGUCUUUCUGCUUGGGCGAGGUUAGUAUAAGGAAAAAAGAGCGGGAACGGAGGGUGGAAUUGUGC
rnacentral:misc_RNA from 1 species